UUGGUCAUUUAGAGGAAGUAAAAGUCGUAACAAGGUCUCCGUUGGUGAACCAGCGGAGGGAUCAUUACCGAGUUUACAACUCCCAAACCCCUGUGAACAUACCAAUUGUUGCCUCGGCGGAUCAGCCCGCUCCCGGUAAAACGGGACGGCCCGCCAGAGGACCCCUAAACUCUGUUUCUAUAUGUAACUUCUGAGUAAAACCAUAAAUAAAUCAAAACUUUCAACAACGGAUCUCUUGGUUCUGGCAUCGAUGAAGAACGCAGCAAAAUGCGAUAAGUAAUGUGAAUUGCAGAAUUCAGUGAAUCAUCGAAUCUUUGAACGCACAUUGCGCCCGCCAGUAUUCUGGCGGGCAUGCCUGUUCGAGCGUCAUUUCAACCCUCAAGCCCCCGGGUUUGGUGUUGGGGAUCGGCGAGCCCUUGCGGCAAGCCGGCCCCGAAAUCUAGUGGCGGUCUCGCUGCAGCCUCCAUUGCGUAGUAGCUAACACCUCGCAACUGGAACGCGGCGCGGCCAAGCCGUUAAACCCCAACUUCUGAAUGUUGACCUCGGAUCAGGUAGGAAUACCCGCUGAACUUAAGCAUAUCAAUAAG
rnacentral:rRNA from 1 species